ensembl:lncRNA
CACUGACACAUUACAGCUUCCAGUAUGCAUGACCUACCUUGCCAUUAUCUCAACUUAGAAAUAAUUUGAGUGUCAGAUGUUUCGUCAGGGGGUGGUGAUUAUUCACCCUGUCAAAGAUUCUGAAAUUCAGAUGGGCGUUGAGGGAAUGGUGUUAAAUUUAGGCCCUGUAUGAAAAUGACAGUGGGGAGAUUUGGCGGAGAUCUGACCGGGAAAAUGAGACUUGUGACUUAUGGUUGCGCGGUUCAGCUUUUUAAAAUGUGAUGUGUUAUCCCAGUUUUAAGAUCGUUACAGCAAAGUCCUAUUAUCUCUGCUAAUGACCUCAUCAUUCAAAGUGAACAAGCUUUAUUCACUCCCCUUGUGAUUUUCAGUAUAAGAGAGCAGACUUUUUGUGUAUCUUUUUUUUUAUUUUUUUUUUGUUCGGCAAGCUCACAUGAAAUCACUGCUCACUGCUACAUCUUGAGUGCUACAGAGUGGAAGGUUGAAGUUGAAGUUCACCACACAGUUGUAAAAUCAGCCCCUUUUCAGCUUCCCUCAGCUGGAUGAUGGAUUUGAAAACAUGUUUUGUCAAGUGAAACUUAAGAAAAUAGACAUUUUAGGAAAUCUGCCUCCAGAUCAACAUAUCCUCUGGGGAAACAUCAAACUGAGGAAGUAAGAUGUAAAAAUGCCAAUCAGUGUGGAGGCCUUCAUUUCUGGUGCUGUGAGCAAGGACAUCCUGUCUGAAUGAAGCCAAUUCCCUGGAUAGUUUAUCAGAUGGGUAUUGGUGUUGGAGCAGCUGGUUUCCUUUAAGCUGAGGCUUGAAUCACAAAAAAAUGAUUCUUUGUAUCCGGGAAACGGUGCAGAGCUAAGAAAUAUGAAAAAAUAUAUAAAUAAAUAAAUUUCAGAAUGACUGUAUAGCCAAUCUUAAGUAUGCCACCUUUCAGUUGUAAGAUUUUACAUAUUGGUAUAAAAUAAAAAAUCAUCUUGUCUUGAAAUACAGGCUGAGACCAACACCAAACUGGAGUGUAGCCAAAAUAUAAAGUGUCAG